rnacentral:sRNA from 1 species
UAAGAACUUAGAAUGCUGUCCUGAAGGAAUGAUUAUGAAAUCACCCCCUGCCUUCCACCUCUCACCCGGUCUUACAGGAUUUCUGCGUUAUUCAAAUGGGCGUACUAAAAUAAUGUGAAUACAAUGUGGGCUCCGAAGCGCUGAAGGGGAGGGUUAAUGAAACUGCUAAUAUAGAAAGCAAACGUGGGACCAGCUGCUCCAGAGUGCACGUGAAACCAUUUUCCCUCACAAGGAGCAGAAGCUUUGGGACAUAAGCAAACAGCGAUGUGGGUCCUUAGACCUCAAGAGGUUAAGUGGAGAGGGGAAAGAAACUCUGAUAUGGUAUUUCUUGGCUCGCUGACCAACUUCGACCUUCUAUCUGUGUGAGUGUGGGAUUAACAUGAGCUUCUGCUUAGGGGAGUCACCUAUGAAAAUAAGAAAACAAAUGUGCGCAUUUGUAGCUCCAACUGGAGAAGGCUGGAAAAAAGAUACCAAAGCACCUGCUACUGGUGCCAUUAUUAUGGACGAAUAUGAGAUAAAGAGAUGGAAACAACGGGGUAUGCAGUAGAAAGAUGGACCAGAAAGCAGAGCCAAGAGGUAUUGGCCAGCUGUUCUGCUACUCUACAGAGUACUGGGCUGAAGAAAAAUGAUCUCAACAGACUGGAGGUAUCAAUGAAAUGUAACCCAAUAAAGCUUGAUUCUGAGGGGAGAGAAUGAAGGUCCUGUCUCCUUAAUAAGCAACAAAAAAUGGAAAGUUUCUGCAUUAAUUCUUCUCCUCGAAUGAUCCCUCAAGAAGAAAACUUGCCUCCCAGAAGU